AGAGUUUGAUCCUGGCUCAGAGCGAACGNNNNGCGGCAUUAACACAUGCAAGUCGCACGGGCGGUUUUCGGAUCGUCAGUGGCGGACGGGUGAGUAACGCGUAGGAACAUGUCUUGAGGUGGGGGACAACCCUGGGAAACUGGGGCUAAUACCGCAUAUCUGCUUUGGCAGAAAGCCUUCGGGUGCCUUGGGAGUGGCUGCGUCCGAUUAGCUUGUUGGUGGGGUAAUGGCUUACCAAGGCGACGAUCGGUAGCUGGUCUGAGAGGACGAUCAGCCACACUGGGACUGAGACACGGCCCAGACUCCUACGGGAGGCAGCAGUGGGGAAUAUUGGACAAUGGGCGCAAGCUGAUCCAGCAAUGCCGCGUGGGUGAAGAAGGUCUUCGGAUUGUAAAGCCCUUUCGACAGGGACGAUGAUGACGGUACCUGUAGAAGAAGCCCCGGCUAACUUCGUGCCAGCAGCCGCGGUAAUACGAAGGGGGCUACGUUGCUCGGAAUUACUGGGCGUAAAGGGCGCGUAGGCNNCGCUGCAAGUCAGGCGUGAAAUUCCUGGGCUUAACCUGGGGGCUGCGCUUGAGACUGUGGUGCUAGAGGAUGGAAGAGGGUCGUGGAAUUCCCAGUGUAGAGGUGAAAUUCGUAGAUAUUGGGAAGAACACCGGUGGCGAAGGCGGCGACCUGGUCCAUUACUGAGCUGAGGCGCGACAGCGUGGGGAGCAAACAGGAUUAGAUACCCUAGUAGUCC
rnacentral:rRNA from 1 species